CUCGUCGCGACGUAACAGAACAUUUUUCGUGUGUAACGAAUAUAACUUCUAAUAACAAACAUACUAUUACUGCACUAAUUUGUACAACAGCAAUGGAUACGAUUUUUGAAACGGUGCUGCAUUUAUCUAAUACUUAUUCUCUGCUAGCUGUCUUUGUCGUUACGUCGCUGAUUGCAAUGCAUCUUUACAUCGAAAAUUCUCGACAAGUUCGUAUUGCAAACAAGUUACCAGGUCCGCUAAGUCUACCUUUAAUAGGUAACGCAUAUUUGGGUAUAGGACAGGAUCCUCAUUCUAUGUACAAACUUGCUGACAAAUAUCACAAACAAUACG